GGGUCGGUAGCUCAGUUGGUAGAGCAGGGGACUCUUAAUCCCAAGGUCGUGGGUUCGAUCCCCACCCGACCCACCA
rnacentral:tRNA from 1 species